CGCGUGUACUGGUCCGGCCGGGCCUUUCCUUCUGGAGAUCCCCAUGCCCUUCACUGGGUGUGUGGGGGAACCAGGACUUUUACUUUGAAAAAAUUAGAGUGUUCAAAGCAGGCCUUUGCUCGAAUACGUUAGCAUGGAAUAAUAGAAUAGGACGUGCGGUCCUAUUUUGUUGGUUUCUAGGACCGCUGUAAUGAUUAAUAGGGAUAGUCGGGGGCAUCAGUAUUCAAUUGUCAGAGGUGAAAUUCUUGGAUUUAUUGAAGACUAACUACUGCGAAAGCAUUUGCCAAGGAUGUUUUCAUUAAUCAGUGAACGAAAGUUAGGGGAUCGAAGACGAUCAGAUACCGUCGUAGUCUUAACCGUAAACUAUGCCGACUAGGGAUCGGGCGAUGUUUCUUUCUUGACUCGCUCGGCACCUUACGAGAAAUCAAAGUUUUUGGGUUCUGGGGGGAGUAUGGUCGCAAGGGCUGAAACUUAAAGAAAUUGACGGAAGGGCACCACCAGGCGUGGAGCCUGCGGCUUAAUUUGACUCAACACGGGGAAACUCACCAGGUCCAGAUGAAAUAAGGAUUGACAGAUUGAGAGCUCUUUCUUGAUUUUUCAGGUGGUGGUGCAUGGCCGUUCUUAGUUGGUGGAGUGAUUUGUCUGCUUAAUUGCGAUAACGAACGAGACCUUAACCUGCUAAAUAGCCAGGCUAGCUUUGGCUGGUCGCCGGCUUCUUAGAGGGACUAUCGG
rnacentral:rRNA from 1 species